rnacentral:rRNA from 1 species
CGACCCCAGGUCAGGCGGGGCUACCCGCUGAGUUUAAGCAUAUCAAUAAGCGGAGGA